GUAGGUGGCAAGCGUUGUCCGGAAUUAUUGGGCGUAAAGCGCGCGCAGGCGGUUCUUUAAGUCUGAUGUGAAAGCCCACGGCUCAACCGUGGAGGGUCAUUGGAAACUGGAGAACUUGAGUACAGAAGAGGAAAGCGGAAUUCCACGUGUAGCGGUGAAAUGCGUAGAGAUGUGGAGGAACGCCAGUGGCGAAGGCGGCUUUCUGGUCUGUAACUGACGCUGAGGCGCGAAAGCGUGGGGAGCAAACAGGAUUAGAUACCCUGGUAGUCCACGCCGUAAACGAUGAGUGCUAAGUGUUAGGGGGGUUUCCGCCCCCCUUAGUGCUGCAGCUAACGCAUUAAGCAUCCGCCUGGGAGUACGGCCGCAAGGCUG
rnacentral:rRNA from 1 species